ACUUAGUCUAUGUGAGAGAAUGGAGGAAUAUACAUACUAUGCUAAAUCAUAGGUUCGAAGGGUAGUUUUGAAUUGUGGGAAGCACUGUUGCUACGCAAGGAAAGGAAGCCAUCUUGGUCUUUGCUUUGAACCUCAAACGGUUGUGGAAACUCACUGGAACUAGAGAUGGUAUUGCAGAUAAAGCUGGAUUGGAAUAGCUCUUCGAGAGAGACGGGAAAUAAAACUUGUUGGGAUUUUUAUAAUGUUUUCUUAUUUAUGUUCGUUUGAUUUUGUUAUUUUAAGAAACAAUUAAGAUUUGGUUUGUUGUAAUGUAUGGACUUAUGAUGUGUGUAUGGUUUGUUUAUGUGUGGUAUAUUUAAAAAA
rnacentral:sRNA from 1 species